GUGCCAGCCGCCGCGGUAAUACAUAGGGGGCAAGCGUUAUCCGGAAUUAUUGGGCGUAAAGAGUGCGUAGGUGGUUACCUAAGCGCAAGGUUUAAUUUAGAGGCUCAACCUCUACUUGCCUUGCGAACUGGGCUACUUGAGUGCAGGAGGGGAAAGCGGAAUUCCUAGUGUAGCGGUGAAAUGCGUAGAUAUUAGGAGGAACACCAGCGGCGAAGGCGGCUUUCUGGACUGUAACUGACACUGAGGCACGAAAGCGUGGGUAGCAAACAGGAUUAGAUACCCUGGUAGUCCACGCCGUAAACGAUGAGCACUAGGUGUUGGGUCCGUUAGGACUCAGUGCCGCAGUUAACGCAAUAAGUGCUCCGCCUGGGGAGUACGCUCGCAAGAGUAAAACUCAAAGGAAUUGACGGGGACCCGCACAAGCAGCGGAGCAUGUGGUUUAAUUCGAAGCAACGCGAAGAACCUUACCAGGGCUUGACAUCCUGCUGACAGGACUUUAACAGGUUCCUUCUUCGGACAGCAGAGACAGGUGGUGCAUGGUUGUCGUCAGCUCGUGUCGUGAGA
rnacentral:rRNA from 1 species